AGAGGCGAGGAGCAGGGGACGAGGCAGCUCCCUCCGACGGGCGCUGUCCGGCGCGAAGUGGUCGCCCCCGCGGGGCUGCGCGCGGCUCGGGCGGACUCGCGCGGAUCCUGCCAAUCACACCGCCCGUCCCCGACAACACCCCGGGCUGGCAUGGACAUAGUCCAAAGGAUAUCCCGGCGUUGAAGAAACCUCUUCAGCUUUACACCCAGUGCCUUAUCACCAUCAGAAGUGGAAGAAGAACCUUAAAUGAAUGCAUAACAGCGGUUAAGCAACAAUUUGAAUAUUCAUAUUUUACUCUUCAAACAACGGCAACAAAAGAUACUUCAAAACCACGUGCGAAACAAAACAACAUUAAACUUGCAAUCAUUAAACCUCUGUUUAACCCUA